GAAAAAACUACUAGUAGUAUAAUAAUAUAUGUAAUGGGACGACCACAAGUGACAGGCAUGCAUCGAAGCUUUGUAAAAUACGAGUUUAAGACGCUAGGGUCAUCUCCUGCAGGCAAUGCCCGCUCACAGGCUAGCCUUCCCACUUCUAACGAAUACUUUUUCACUUUGAUGCGUUAUUGCGUUCUCCCCCCCUGCAUGGAUCACUUUUGGCUUUGAUGCUUUUUCAUUGCGGUCUCCACUUGCAUGGAUCAAAACCCGAAAGUGUGUGUGUGUGUAUAUAUAUAUACAUAAAACAACUACAGUUCCACAGCAGCCCCGGGAAUUAAUCAAAAGCUGCGUCACUGCACACUAGCGUCAUUUCCUCCCUCCACUAAGCCAAGAAAAAGAGAGGGAGAAGACGGUUCCGCCUUACAUGGCAGCACCAAAACUGUCGAGGGCAUCCCUACCCAAAUACCAACCAUUCAGAGCGCCCUCCCAACCUCAUUGGCAGAACGGCUGGAUGUGGGGUUGAGAGUUGCAUACAUGAAGGUCGCAAUUGGGGACAAGCUGCGGGUAUGCCAACCAUAAAUUACCUUCACAACUACUUGAUCCCCAAAAUAUAUACUCCUUGAAAAAUGCCACAAGAGCAUCUUCCAGGUAUAUUGGCAGUCGCCCAAAGGACACGAGCGGGCAAUGUCAAAUCUAUUCACAUAAGUUAUCCUCCACAAUUCAAUGGAGGAGGACAAUUGUUCUUUUGGUUUGGGGGCUGGGGGGGGUGGUGGUGGGGGGGCUGGAGGAAGAUGCAUGAUCAAGUAAAUCCUCGCACAGAGAACUGUUAUUUAUUUAACACCGGUACAUAAUUUCAGUUUAAACCAGACAUGGAAGCCUGUUCGGUACAUAAUACAACACACUGACUGAAGCACACUGAAGGACACCAUCAACCUCUCCGAGAACAAACAUUCCCUAUCAACACACUCCCCAGCUGGUAAACCACCAGGAACAUUUAUGGCCUUCACAUUGUUGGUCUUACAUUGAGACGAGUAGCUAUUUUCUGACCAAGAGAUUUGUCAGCCUGCAAGACAAUCAAGUACUGAAUCAGCAAAACCUACAUUUUUUUCCCAAGGUUAGACUACUACAGAUGCAAGUUAGAUAAAAACAGGGAGGUAUGUAGACAUGAAAAUCAGACCUGAGACCAGUAUGAAAUCCAAAUACUGCGGAUCUCAUGGGUGACUCGUGCAUCAGAUAAAGCAUCAACCCAUCGGCAGAUAAAUCUCUCUUGCCUGAGGAACACAGAUCAAUCAGAACUCCAGAAACAUGAAACACAUACCAUCAGUCAAAGAGCCAUUAAGCAGUAAGCACCAAGAAAUACCUGUCAGGUGCCCAGGAUCGGUAUCUCUCUCCUGGUUGCUUGAAGUUGUUCUCCUUCUGAAUCACACACUGCAAUAAACAAAAAAAUAAAUAAAUAAGCCACAUAUUUUAGGGUCACAUCAUAUCAUAGUUCACCAAUCCAAAGGUCCAGCAGGACCAAAGACAGUUCCAAAAUUCAAAGAGAAAUUCCAAUCCAUCAGCUAAGAACAAGGCACUUGAGGAGAAGGCAUGGAGACCUCCAAAGAUCCCAUGCAAGAAAAGAAACUAUAGCAAGCAACAUUAGCAGAAAAAGCAAUAGCUCAAUGGCUGGCAUCCAUAGUUUGCUCACAGGAAAACAGAUAAUGUCACGUUCAAGAAAGGGAGUAACUUCUACUCGUUAAUGUUCAGUAUAUCGCUUCAAAGGAGGACAGUUUGCAGCAGAGCAACUAAGGGCCUGUUCUCAAAUAAUUCCAAAUACCUGAUUUUAGCUUUUGAUUCUUAAGAAGUUAGUUCUCUCUGUUGUCAAUUGCCUUUUAAAACCUGCUUUUGGUUUUUUUGGAGCAAAAUAGAUGAAAAUCAGAAGUGGCAAAACAGCUGCUUUUGGUACCAAUUCUGCUUCUGAAAACUAGAAGCGAUUGAGAACAAACCAUAAAAAUUCAAGAACUUUUUCACUUUCUUCCUCCUACUCAUCUACAUGCCCACUCUCCUAUUUUAGGAGAGAGGAGGGGAAGGGAGCGAAGAAGCAAAGAUUAUGUAUCGUCUAUUCUUCAAAUCCCAAGAUGAAGUUAUUACGACAACCGAUUUCCCCAGAUUUGAUUAACUGCGUAAAGUUAUCAAUUUUUUUCCAUAGUUCCUUCGUCUAGAUUCAAAAAAGUUCAAUUUUUUCCUACUCAUAGAAACUCACCUUGUCACGCUUUCCACUCAGGACAGGAGGGGGGAUGGGAUGCCUCUCAGCAUGACGAACAGGAUCGUACCUUGAAGGGAAAUAAUUGACCUGAAAAAAACAUUGAACAAAAAAGUUUAGCACAACUAAGCAUAAGAUUAGCCCAUUUUAACUCCCAUUCACAAAGUCCCUAAGCCCAAAAAAAAAAACCCUGAAGUGAUUUAAUUGUAAAGCAACCACACAACAAAGUUUGAAAAAGGGAAUGGGUACUACUUCUGGCAUUUUUUCAUUUUUCAAACUGACCUCUAUGCCUUGAGUCAUGACAAUAUGUUAUAAGAUAGCUUUCCACUCAACUCUUAUUUGCCCACUAAUUCUUCACAACUUAUUUAUUUCACACAAAGAAUUUCCUUUUUCACAGUACAUAAAAAUGAAGAACAUCGAUCUAUCUGUCGGUGACUUCUUAUCUCCAAUCUUGAACAUCUACAAGUCUUCAUAUCAACCACCAAGUUUAUAUUCACAACCACCUCAUGUCACAAAAAUGGUAUCUAAUGAAAAGUUACUUUAUACCAGCAACCGGUCAUAGAUAAUUAUAUUUACUAAAUCACAUAAAAUGUAACCUUAAAUGCUGAGUUGAACCAGGAAACUAACUGGUAUAAAGAACAAGCAGGAUGUCCUCAAAAUGAAGACCAAAUUAGAGAACGACGCAUAAUUUGUGGUUCAUUAUUACCAAAAGAGGGAUCAGUACCUCUUCAUCCCGGUGCAUGAAGUUCAUGAAACCAUCAUGGUGAUUGUUGUGAUGAGCACACUUGGGAGCAUUUGCUGGAAGCUGCAGAUAGUUCGGGCCAAGACGGUGUCGCUGGGUAUCAGCAUAUGAGAAUAUGCGAGUCUGGAGCAGCUUGUCAUCUGAAUAAUAUAUUCCAGGUACAAUAAUAGCAGGGCAAAAUGCAAGCUGCUCGUUCUCAGCAAAGAAGUUGUCAAUAUUCUUGUUCAAUACCAACCGGCCCACAGGUUGCAAAGGCAAAAUAUCUUCAGGCCAGGUCUUGCUUACAUCAAGCGGAUCAAAAUCAAACCGAUCUUCAUGAUCAGGAUCCAUAAUCUGGAUAAAAAGUUUCCACUCCGGAUAGUUUCCAGCAGCAAUUGAGUCAUAGAGAUCCUGGGUAGCAUGGCUAUGAUUUGAUCCUCCAACCUUAAUAGCUUCUUCCUCCAACAGGCUCUUCACUCCACAGGUUGGCUUCCAGUGGAACUUCACAUAACUAGCUUUUCCAGCCUUGUCGAUCAGAGUGUAAGUAUUGACGCCAAAGCCUUCCAUAUGCCUGUAAUCUUGUGGAAUGCCGACAUCAUCAAAGAGGAAAGUAAACAUAUGCAAGCUCUCAGGAUGAUGGGAGAAAAAAUCAAGGAUUCUCCAAUUCUCCUGGAUGUGGGACUUUGGAUUCGGUUUCAGAGCAUGGACCAUAUCUGGGAAUUUCAUUCCAUCACGAACAAAAAAGACAGGGAAAUUGUUUCCCACCAAAUCGAAAUUACCCUAUCCAGAUGCACAAAGAAACCAUCAGCAGCUUAUCAAGAGUUACCAAGAAAUGCAGACCAAGAACUAAAUAAAACACCAACCACAUAAUCCAAGUCCCCUAAGAUCAUCUAUUGUGCCCGGAAAGCUUAUGUUCCUAGUUGUGGUGCUUACAAGUUAAUUGAAUGGAUAAGCUGCAUCUUGCUGCUAAAUCAACAUACGCUUUCAGAAGGGGAAGCUCCCAAUUUUCAGAAUGCCAAAGUGUGCUAAGUGUGGGGUGGAGGGCAACAAAGUUAGGACAACUAUUAUUCGUGUUUUAUUCACAUCCAUAUGUGUUGAAUUUGAGAACUUCAAUGCCAUGGAAUACCAAAGGAAGGCUUCACAAUGGUUGGCUAAGUGGCAAAAAGUAUAAACUGCUAGACUGACACGUCCAAUUCAGGAGCUGUACAUCAUGCAAAUUCAGCUCUUCAAAAUCCUGUGAUUGUCUCUAAGCACAGCUCGUAUCCAUUACUUUUCAGAUAUGAGACAAAGAGGCUUGACAUGUUAACUAAACAACACAUGUCAGUGGCUUUCUGCUGAUUUAAUUCUUAAUAUGUGCACAGCAUAUGAAUCCAUCUAGUUGACUGACGGAUUAGCAGAACUAUUUUCUGAAGGAAAACAACAGAACUUACCUCCCUAGUGUAAAAUUUCACAGCAAAACCUCGGGGGUCCCUGAGGGUUUCAGGACUUCCACGCUCAUGAAUAACAGUUGAGAAACGGACAAUGACAGGUGUCUGAACUCCUGGAGCACGAAGAAAAUCAGCACAAGUGAGAUUAGAAAUGUCAUGAGUGACCUCAAAGAAGCCCUUGGCACUGGCUCCCCUUGCAUGAACUACACGCUCCGGAAUCCGCUCACGGUCGAAAUUUGCAAGUUUCUCCACCAAAUGAUAAUCCUCGAGAAGAACCGGACCUGGCACAUGAAGAAGACGAAAAGCUAAAUACUUGUAAUCACAAAAUGCCAUAUUAAAAUAAAGGGAUAAUUUCAGAAACCUCCCUGAGGUUUCUGACAAUUUUACUGAACUCCCUUGAGGUUUAAAAAAUUACAUAUACCUUCCUUAUCAUUUAAAAUGACAAUUUUACUCUUAAAUAUUUUAAUGAAAUCUCCUUAUUUGGUAUGCUUAAUGCUUAAAAUUAUUUUUUCAUUCUUUUCCUUCUUAUUCCUUUUUUUAAUUUUUCGCUAAUAAAACUAUAGAACUACCACUAUUGCCUCUAGUUUCUAUUAUAACCAAAUGUCGAACUAGUGAUUUUUUUUGACGAGUUAAUUUUAUAUGCUAUCCAAUGUUUUUGUUAAUCUUUGUUUUCUAUUUUUUGGUAUUAAAAUUAACAAUAAAUCAAAAAGAAAUGGCCUAAAAGCAUUAUUAAAUUAUGAUAAUUGCACUACUCCAAAAAUUCAUAAAUUAUAAAUGAAUAUUUCAGCAUUUUCUUUUCUAUCUUAUAAAUCUAAAUCUACAAUAGAAUACCAUCAAAAGUAUCAUAUCAUAGUAAUAAAUUAUUAUCAUAGUUGUUUAUAGUAAAUAUGGACAUGAAAAUUUUGGCACCUUUUCCUUAUAAUUGUACUAAAUAAUCUUAUAAUUAUAUAGGGAAAUAAAUUAAAAAUCAUUACACAAGGGCAUUUUUGGGUAUUCAUUUAAAAAACUGACCAAGUCAAUAUUAUUUUAAGGUUUUGUUACUAAAACUAUCAAAUUCAAGAGAGGUAAGUGUAAUUUUCCAAACCAUAGGGGAGCUCAAUGAAAUAGUCAAAAACCCCGGGGGAGGUUUCUGAAAUUAUCCCUAAGAUAAACCAGGUGGUUGUUGUCACAAUAAGGUUUCAAUAUCAGAAUAUUAAAAUUAAAAACUAAUUGUAUGUCUACGUUCAGGACUUCUUAACGUAUUUAUUUCAUUAAAUAACAGGAAAUUUCUGAUAAAGACCUCAUAGCAUUUAGGAUAUAGAGGAAACAAAUAGAUAUAGGUAAAACCAAAAUGAGUUUUUGUGAAUUUCGUAUUCUUCAAGCUACUGCAUCUAAUGAGUAAAAAAUAACAGCAAGUCAUAACACAAGAUUCAAUCCCAAAAUAAACCAAACAAUGACAUUUCUAACAAUAAGAAAUUCAAUGCGAAACGGGGGAUAAAAUUGCAUAAACAAUAAGAAUCUUAGAUCAUAGAAAAGAAAGGAAAGAAAACAGUAUAAGCACCUCUGGUUCCAACGGUGAGAGAGGAGUUAUUGUUCCAGACGGAGGCACCAGAAUUGGUUGUCCAGAAGGGAGAAUUGAAAGCACUCGAUGGCCGAUACUACACAAAUCACAAAGGACCAAAUACAAACUCUCCAAUCAUUAGAAAUAACUAAAACACGCUAAACCUCAGCGUUACUAUAAAAGAUAGGAAGUUUGGAAUUUUCACCGAAAAAAAAAAUUGAGAUUUUCAUUUUAUCUAAUCGGGUGAGAGCUAAGCAUAAAAAAGUUAAAAUGGAAGCUAAGAAUUACGAAAUUUUUUCUCAGAAGCGAUUACUGGCGAAAGAAAAAAAAUGAGUUGCUCAGAAAUCCGUGAUGGCCAUGGAAAGCGGCAAAAUUAGACCUCGACUUCGACUUAAAAAAUGAACGAAUUCAACAUCAGCUCGUCCAAAUUACAUGAGCGGAUGGUGCAGAUAUAUUACCUUGCAUGGAUCCAUUGCUACAGUCAGCGAAGGGGCGGUGGGUGGCGAUAGAUUUUUGGCUGGGGAUAAAGCAAGUCGGGAAGGGGAAUGGCAAUCACCGUCUUUCGAAAAAACCAAAAGACCCACGAAUUUAUUGAUAAAAUUAGGAGUGGGUCCCGUCCCGAGGCUCGCAUUUCUAGCUUAUCCACUGCCUAGCACGCAGACGCAGUGCCCAAUCCAAGAGCCAAUCUUUUUUUUUUUUUUUCCUAAUUGCUUCAACAAAGUGAGAAAAAAAAAAUUCAUUCGUAGGUGAAUUUUUCAGGUCAGGAUAUAAUCGCCAAUUUAAACUUUCCCCAUCCUGAUCCUAUUGUCCAAAUUCCUAGUUUUUAUUUGGAUUAUUUUAUCGGAUUCCUUCAAGCCAUCCUCCGUAUAUUUAAAUUUCAUCCAAUCCAUCAUCUAAUCCGUCGCGUGUCUAUAUCUAUAUAUAUUGAUACGCCAGGGUCCAUUACUAGUUUAAGACGGUAGGGUCAUCCACUGCAGACAAUGCCCGCUCACAAGCCAGCCUUCCCACGCCCAGUUCAAACGAAUACUUUUUCACUUUGAUGGGUUAUUGCAUGACAUGGAUCGCAACCAAGUCUGCCCCUUUCCCACCCGAAAGUAUAUAUAUACAUGUGUGUGGAUACAUAAAACAACCACGGCAGCCCCGGGAAUUAAUCAGAAGCUGCGUCACUGCACGCUAGCGUCAUUUCCUCCCUCCACUAAGCCAAGAAAAAGAGAGGGAGAAGACGGUUCCGCCGUACAUGGCGGCACCAAAACUGUCGAGGGCAUCCCUACCCAGAUACCAACCAUUCAGAGCGCCCUCCCAACCUCAUUGGCAGAACAGCUGGAUGUGGGGUUGAGAGUUGCAUGCAUGAAGGUCGCAAUUGGGGAAAAGCUGCGGGUACCUUCACACAUACUUGAUCCCCAAAAUAUAUACACCCUCAAAAAUGCCACAAGAGCACCUUCCAGGUAUAUUGGCAGUCGCCCAAAGGACACGAGUGGGCAAUGUCAAAUCUAUUCACAGAAGUUAUCCUCCACAAUUCAAUGGAGAAGGAAAAUUGUUUUUUUGGGUUGGCGGUUUUUUGGGGAGGGGGGGUUUGGAGGAAGAUGCAUGAUCAAGUAAAUCCUCGCACAGAGAACCGUUAUUUAUUUAACACCGGGACAUAAUUUCAGUUUAAACCAGACAUGGAAGCCUGUUCGGUACAUAAUACAACACACUGACUGAAGCACACUGAAGGACACCAUCAACCUCUCCGAGAACAAACACUCCCUAGCCCGUAAGCCACCAGGAACAUUUAUGGCCUUCACAUUGUUGGUCUUACAUUGAGACGAGUAGCCAUUUUCUGACCAAGAGAUUU
rnacentral:lncRNA from 1 species